rnacentral:rRNA from 1 species
CUACGGGUGGCAGCAGUGGGGAAUUUUGGACAAUGGGGGCAACCCUGAUCCAGCCAUGCCGCGUGAGUGAAGAAGGCCUUCGGGUUGUAAAGCUCUUUCAGCCGGGAAGAAAUCGCAUGGGUUAAUACCCUGUGCGGAUGACGGUACCGGAAUAAGAAGCACCGGCUAACUACGUGCCAGCAGCCGCGGUAAUACGUAGGGUGCGAGCGUUAAUCGGAAUUACUGGGCGUAAAGCGUGCGCAGGCGGGUGCUUAAGCCAGAUGUGAAAUCCCCGGGCUUAACCUGGGAAUUGCAUUUGAAACUGGGUGUCUAGAGUGCGUCAGAGGGGGGUGGAAUUCCACGUGUAGCAGUGAAAUGCGUAGAUAUGUGGAGGAACACCAAUGGCGAAGGCAGCCCCCUGGGAUGACACUGACGCUCAUGCACGAAAGCGUGGGGAGCAAACAGGAUUAGAUACCCUCGUAGUC